rnacentral:rRNA from 1 species
UACGAAGGGGGCUAGCGUUGCUCGGAAUCACUGGGCGUAAAGGGUGCGUAGGCGGGUUUUAAGUUCAGAGGUGAAAUCCUGGAGCUCAACUCCAGAACUGCCUUUGAUACUGAAAGUCUUGAGUAUGGGAGAGGUGAGUGGAACUGCGAGUGUAGAGGUGAAAUUCGUAGAUAUUAGGAAGAACACCGGUGGCGAAGGCGGCCCACUGGUCCGGUACUGACGCUGAGGUGCGAAAGCGUGGGGAGCAAACAGG